AUUGAACGCUGGCGGCAUGCCUUACACAUGCAAGUCGAACGGUAACAGGUCUUCGGAUGCUGACGAGUGGCGAACGGGUGAGUAAUACAUCGGAACGUGCCCAGACGUGGGGGAUAACGAGGCGAAAGCUUUGCUAAUACCGCAUACGAUCUAAGGAUGAAAGCAGGGGACCGCAAGGCCUUGCGCGUUUGGAGCGGCCGAUGGCAGAUUAGGUAGUUGGUGGGAUAAAAGCUUACCAAGCCGACGAUCUGUAGCUGGUCUGAGAGGACGACCAGCCACACUGGGACUGAGACACGGCCCAGACUCCUACGGGAGGCAGCAGUGGGGAAUUUUGGACAAUGGGCGAAAGCCUGAUCCAGCAAUGCCGUGUGCAGGAUGAAGGCCUUCGGGUUGUAAACUGCUUUUGUACGGAACGAAAAGGCUCUGGCUAAUACCUGGGGCACAUGACGGUACCGUAAGAAUAAGCACCGGCUAACUACGUG
rnacentral:rRNA from 1 species